GUCCUUUAGAGUUUAAUUUAAGGUCUAACCUGCCCACUGAAUUUGAUUUUAAAUGGCCGCAGUAAUUUGACUGUGCAAAGGUAGCAUAAUCAUUAGUUUUUUAAUUAAAAGCUUGUAUGAAGGGUUGGACGAGGUAAAAUCUGUCUCUGAUUAAUUUAAUUUAGAAUUUAACUUUUAAGUAAAAAGGCUUAAAUUUUUUUAAAAGACGAGAAGACCCUAUAGAUCUUUAUAAUUUAUUAAAUAAAUUUAAUUAAGAAAUUUUAUAGUUUUAUUAAAUAAAUUAUUUUAUUGGGGUAAUAUAAAGAUUAAUAAAAUUCUUUUUUUUUGUUAACAUUAAUAUAUGAUUAUAUGAUCCAAUUUUAUUGAAUAUAAGAUUAAGUUACCUUAGGGAUAACAGCGUAAUUUUUUUAGAGAGUUCUUAUCGAUAAAAAAGUUUGCGACCUCGAUGUUGGAUUAAAGAUUAUUUUAGGUGCAAAAGUUUAAAAAUUUGGUCUGUUCGACCAUUAAAUCUUUACAUGAUCUGAGUUCAGACCGGUGUAAGCCAGGUCGGUUUCUAUCUUUAAAAGAAUAAAAUAUUUUAGUACGAAAGGACCAAUUAUUUAAUAUAAAAUAUUUAAAUUUUGAUUAUUAUUAA
rnacentral:rRNA from 1 species